rnacentral:rRNA from 1 species
UACGGGGGGGGCAAGUGUUGUUCGGAUUUACUGGGUGUAAAGGGAGUGUAGGUGGUUGGGUAAGUCAGGGGUGAAAUGCUCACGCUUAACGUGAUGUUCUGCCUUUGAAACUACCUAACUUGAGUGUUGGAGAGGGCAAUGGAAUUCCAGGUGUAGCGGUGGAAUGCGUAGAUAUCUGGAAGAACACCAGUUGCGAAGGCGAUUGCCUGGCCAAACACUGACGCUGAGGCUCGAAAGCCGGGGGA